rnacentral:tmRNA from 1 species
ACACUUUUAUUUUGUAGAUAAAUGCCUAUAUUGGGUUUGUCGGUUCGCGCCGACUAUGGCGAUAAAUGGCCUGUGUAAUAAACUACUCGGACCCGGGGGCGGUACCCGGCGCCUCCACCAGAGCGCAUUGUUCAAGUUAAUUGGAAGUGUGUUGUGGCGGGGGCGAAAUAGCUUCGACGAGGGUGUAAAGACUGUGUUUUUGCUCGGCAUUGUACCGCCGUUAUCGGGCUAUUUUCUAGUUGCAAAUGACAACUAUGCGGAGGUUCGUUUGGCUGCGUAAGCGGUUCGACAACCUCACUAUAAAGUCCAGUUCAUUCGCAUGAUCUGGCGGGGUCCGGAGGCACCUGGCAACAGAAGCCUUCACU